AGGCUAGUAGCAUCACUCAUCUACUCCACUAUAGAGAUUCAACUUAGUUAAUUAUCUUUCUAGAGAUUCCUACAAAAUGAAAAGAAACAAAAAAUACUGCAUAAGCUGGGUUGCCUCCCAACAAAUGCUAAGUUUAACGUCUUCAGUCGGACGCUAUGAAGGAGUCCUAUCUAUAACUGACUUGGGUAUGCCCCUCUAGAUUUCAAAAGGAUAAGAUCAAU
rnacentral:lncRNA from 1 species